UGUGACCCUCAGGAGCGACUGCUGGAGCGGCAGAUGAAGAAACUGGAUGCAAGAGUGGGAAAGGUGUUCAGAGCGCUGGAGGAAAACUGCCUGAGCGUCGUGAUCCUGCCCGGACACAGAAGCGACGGCGUCGAUCAUCCCGGCCUCUGCUUCAUUCACAUCAAACAGAGCACCUGACAAACACCUGAGUGCCUGCUCUGACUCCGCCCAGCUGAUCUGUGAUUGGCUGACCUGAUUGAAGCCCAUUUCUACGAAUGUUUUUACAACACAAGCUUUUUCAUACACGAGCCAGUUUUAAUGUAUUUUAACACUGUUCAGAAUAAACUGGACUGGAGUGUG